GUGAACGCUGGCGGUAGGCCUAACACAUGCCAGUCGAACGGCAGCACAGUAAGAGCUUGCUCUUACGGGUGGCGAGUGGCGGACGGGUGAGGAAUACAUCGGAAUCUACUUUUUCGUGGGGGAUAACGUAGGGAAACUUACGCUAAUACCGCAUACGACCUACGGGUGAAAGCAGGGGAUCUUCGGACCUUGCGCGAUUGAAUGAGCCGAUGUCGGAUUAGCUAGUUGGCGGGGUAAAGGCCCACCAAGGCGACGAUCCGUAGCUGGUCUGAGAGGAUGAUCAGCCACACUGGAACUGAGACACGGUCCAGACUCCUACGGGAGGCAGAAGUGGGGAAUAUUGGACAAUGGGCGCAAGCCUGAUCCAGCCAUACCGCGUGGGUGAAGAAGGCCUUCGGGUUGUAAAGCCCUUUUGUUGGGAAAGAAAAGCAGCAGGUUAAUACCCCGCUGUUCUGACGGUACCCAAAGAAUAAGCACCGGCUAACUUCGUG
rnacentral:rRNA from 1 species